rnacentral:rRNA from 1 species
UACGUAGGUGGCAAGCGUUAUCCGGAUUUAUUGGGCGUAAAGCGAGCGCAGGCGGUUGCUUAGGUCUGAUGUGAAAGCCUUCGGCUUAACCGAAGAAGUGCAUCGGAAACCGGGCGACUUGAGUGCAGAAGAGGACAGUGGAACUCCAUGUGUAGCGGUGGAAUGCGUAGAUAUAUGGAAGAACACCAGUGGCGAAGGCGGCUGUCUGGUCUGCAACUGACGCUGAGGCUCGAAAGCAUGGGUAGCGAAC